CUCCUGCAUCUUUCCUGCAAACAAUGGAAGAGUAUGUGCGAGAAGCUCCACGUAUGUCAGUUCGCAAAGAUCAGGUACUUGGACACUUUUUUUUCAAUGAGUUCUGUACUGGAUCGGAAGAUCAGAGCAACAAAAAUAGCAUCAGAUAUCAUUGGUUAUUAUAAAUUAUAUAAACUGUCCAAAAUUAGCUUGUGGUUUUAUCCAGAAAGAGAUUUGUUGUGGUGGGAUAUCUUAAAUAUUGAAGCACUGUUUAUGCUUGGUCAUGCUAAAUUGAUGUUGACUUUUUCACAUGCUAAUGCAUUAUGAUAAACCUUUUAUCAAAUUAUACUUUCAUGAAUCAGAGACAAUGAUGCGAGUGUCAUAUCCUACAUAUCCAUAUUUGGUUAGUGAGUUUGCAGUUUAGCUAUUUCCUACCUUGCAACAAUUAUUCCUUGACAAUUUAAUCUUUAAUCAAGCAGGUUGAUAAUAAGAUUGGUGCGCCAAAGGAAGUCUUAGCUAUAGAGUAUAAAAAGGAACCAGAGGUGAAGGAGGAGCAGCCACCAUCACCACCUCCAUCUGAACCUGAAAAAGUUGAAGCACCUGCACCGAUUGUUGAUCCACCUGAUUUGUUGGUAAGUUUUAGAGCGUCUUCCUUCUAAUGUCAGGAUAUUAUUGCACUUUCCUGACUUGCUGCUCUUUUCUCUCCCUUUGUUUGCUAGGCCUUGGAUGAUCCUGUUCCAGCUGCUUCAGAACUAGAUGAGAAGAAUGCGCUGGCUCUGGCUAUUGUUCCAGUUGGUAAGUUUUUUCUAGUUGUCUGUCAUAGACUUACGUUCUGAAACAGGGCCCAGAGGGUAAAAUUCACCUUAAUUUUGGAUUUUGACAAAAAGAAAAAAAAAAGAAAAAAAAAGCAGCAUGUCUGCUGAUUUUUUUCCCUUUUUGUUCCGAGUUAUAUGCUGAAAAUGUUAGGAAAUUAUCAGUACUCAAAACAUUGGAAAAAAAAAGGAACUAAGAGCGUGGAGUAAGAUUUUGAAUGGACACUAUAUCAUUAGUUAGUUUGCGUCUGGAAAAAACGCUUAUGUUUUGUGUGGUUUCUGCUGUUGCAGCUGACCAGCCAAGUACGACUGCCCCAAUUCAAGCCAAUGGCACUACAGGAUGGGAACUGGCCCUUGUCAUGGCUCCAAGUUCAAAUGAAAGUGCUGCAGCUGCUAGCAAACUGGUACUUUCUGCUGCUGUUGUUUGUUCCAUUACUUAGAACAGUAUCAGUUGGAUAUUGACUAUUUUUUAUUUGCACAAAAUAAGUGGUUCUAAUGUGUACCGACUGACACUACCAUUCAUGUCAAUUAACCAGGCGGGAGGACUCGAUAAACUUACAUUAGACAGCCUGUAUGAUGAUGCAAUCAGACGAAGCAAUCAGCCUGUGAGCUAUAACCCAUGGGAAGCAGCUCCAAUGGCUGGUCCCACGAUGCAAACAACUGCACAUGAUCCUUUCUUUGCCUCGCAUGUAGUGGCUGCACCACCUUCAGUGCAGAUGGCUACAAUGGCCAAUCAACAACAGGCUUACAUGUUGCAGCAGCAGCAGAUGAUGAUGAUGAUGGGCCCACAACAACAACAGCCUUCAAAUCCGUUUGGCAAUCCUUAUGGAACCAGUAUGCAUCCCUAUGGCUCAGGUAUGCCACCCGUUCAAGCCUACAAUCCAUAUUCAGGGGGCCUCUUAUAGAUGCUUUACAUGUAAAAAACACAUUCUUUAUCUGGAAACAUGAGAAAGGAAGAAUACAGGGGAAUCGAUCAGCUUGACAUUUUGAGAUUGGGGAAGACCAGACAAUUGUGUACCAUAUGUUGUGUAUGUGCAGUAGUCAGUUAGAAUGAGAUUCUUCUUUAAUAAUUAGCGAGAAGGCUUUCGAUUAGUGAUUAUUUACAUUGAUGAAGGUUUUAGCAAUAAUGCUUUUCGGACUACUAUAGUUCAUCAACCUGCUCUGUUGUUGUUUACAAGAAUUAUCUCAUUAUUCUUUUCCUCGGUAAGGUUUACUCAUAGAUAUGAUAGAAAUGAUUUGUAAUCUUUGUGAUUAUCACCACAUUUAUGUAAUGAACAGACGUGAAGUUUGAUUUGUGGCUCUUGGAUUCUUCAGGGGUUCCUUAAGGAUGGCGUUCACUAUUGAUUUUUCACUUCUUAUUCAUUCAUUGUUUUACUUUCCUUGAACCUUCUUAAGUUGGUCACAGACGUUCUGGCAAUGACAUUUAAGAUUUCUAUGGAAUCAAUUCCGGUGACUUCUUGUUGCCGAGUUACUUAUUCUUUUGGAAAGGAAAUGUACGUGAGUUUUUGUCCAAGUCACAGAUGCACUCGCUGCUAAUGCCGGGCUGUUCUUAGAAGAAAGGGAAACUGAUGCUUGAAAAUUAUUCAUCUGACUAUUGCAGUCCAUUUGCUCCGUAGUGUGGAUAUAUCACGAGUUUAUUUAAUGCUAGAAAGAGACAGGUAUAUGUUGAGAUAGUUUGCAUAUCAUGUGAUCGGAAAAAGAGUCAAAAUUUAAUGCAGUAAGUGCUAAUUAGCAAUCUAAAACGACGGUCGUUGAAAUCAAUUAAAUUGUGUGGGUCAUUUUAAAUUUUCACUUCAUUUCGAAGAGUAAAUUUAUUCUUAUUUUCAAUUUUGUAGCCAUAUAAUUCUGAGAUAUUUUAUAAAUUUUUUAUGAUAGUAUAUAUUCAUCACUUGACUUUGCCUGCAACAAUUAUCUUUUUACAUUCAACAGCUAAGCUUUAUUCUAAAACCGCCACAUAAAUAGUUAAUUACAGUUAGUAACAGCUAUUGAACAGGGAAUAGAAAAAUCCCAGUCAGGUGUUCUAAUUGAUUUUUCACUGAGGAAGGCUAUUUAUGUAUCCAAAAUUAAAGCUAUUCUAUCCUAAAUUCUCUCUUCAUAUUGGAGGUUCUUUUAAACAAAGAAAACCAAAAUAAAAUUAAAAAUGAAAAUUAUAUUUUUAACUAACUGAAUCAAAUUGGUUUCGUUAAAAAACUAAAUAACACUUGAGCAGAAUACCAUUGAUUCAAUUCCAUUAUUUGGUUAAAAACAAAAUUUGCUCUUCCUACCAGACGGAGAAGGGAAAUAAUCUUCUUGAUAUUAUUUUCCAAAAUUUUCUUUUUUCCCCUAAUUUCAAUCUUAUUUUUAUUUCUUUUCAAAUCAAUCAUUAAACGAAUCAAAAUUGUGUUGUGACGUAGCGUCGUAAGAGAUAACCCAAAUUACAUAAAAUAUCCAGUCAAUAAUAAAUCAAUUAAUUAGAAUUACAUAGCUGCUGACGUGGCAGUUUGCAAGACGGACGCAGGUAGGAGUAAGCAAACCAAAAAAGCAAAAAAGAAAAAAAAAAAAAAAACAAUUAUUGCUCAAUCAGAAAUUCAGAAUUACGAACCAAGAGUUAAAAGUGAGAACCAAACCAAAAAGCCAAAAACAGUUUCAGCUUCAAAUGCCCAGUCCCUCUCCAAUGUUCUCUGUUCCAAAUCCUUCCAUUCCUCUAAAAUCCCCAUUUCAGUAGCACCAAAAAAACCACUAAAGUACACAAAACAUCACAAUAAUGUCUUGGCUUUUCAAGUCUUUCCAAUCCGACGAUCAAGAUUCCUCCUCAUCUUCACCAGAAAGUCCAACCAAUCGUGGCGAUGGUGUUAAAGAGGAUUUAUCAGUUAUCGGCGAGUCUAUCGGCCGCCAAUUGCGUGGCGUCGCCAAUUUUCUCGCUCCGCCGCCAUCUCCGCCGUCCAAUACUGAAGAUAAGUCUUCAUCACUUCCGUCUGAUUAUUUUUCUUCUUCAUCAACGUCACAGUCACAAGCUCUCCUUGGGAUCCGUAACGAUCUAGCAGAAAUUGGAGGUAGCUUGAAGAGUAGUCUGUCUCUACUGUCGAGUAACAAAGCUGUUAGUGAGAUCUCUAAGUUUACGUCCACUUUUUUGCCAUUCCAAAGUAACGAUAAUGAAGGAGAAGACGAGGAAGAAUACGAUGAUGAAGAAGAUGAUUAUGUGCCAGGGAUUACAGAGGAGGUUGUUGAUUUCGUUAAGGAAAUUUCUAUGAGGCCUGAGUGCUGGACUGAUUUUCCAUUGUUACUAGAAACCGGUAAUUGCUUCAAAUCUACUUUACCUAGCUGUAUAGAAUUAUUUAAUUUACUUUGCUUAUAAAUCAACUUGUUUUUGAUUUGUUUUCCUGGUUUAUUGCUGUUAAAUGGUAAAUUAGAUGAUAUGUGGAAUAUAGGGAUACCUUUGUGAUGGAUUUUAGAUAAGCUAGAAGUUAAAUUAGAGCAGAAUGUAAUGUUCCCCAAGUGUUAAUGAAUGCAAUUGAGGAUUUGGAUAAUGUUAGUCAGGAGGUAUGUUAUUGCGUUAUGGUGGAUAUGUGCCUCUUAUUGCUUUGGCAAGAUGGUUAAAUGGGCGAAGCUGCACCAUUUAGUGUUCAUGUUACUGAUGCAAUAUUCAACCUGUAUUGAAUUUCUCUUUUAAUAGGUACUGGUUUUGGAUAAAAAAAUUUUAGAAUAGCAUUUAAUAUGUCCAAGUCUUUGGAUUCCAAGCUCAUCAAGUCCUUUUAUUGUUGAGGGAAAAUAGUUUUAUCUUUUUCAUUUAUUGGAUAGGAAAGCAGCACCUUGGUGCUCCUAUGGUAUGUGAAGAGCAUGGAUUGCUACACACACACACAAACACACACACACACACACACACACAAUCCGACUUGUCAAUUAACUAUGUUUGCAUAUAUUAAUACUCUUUGGUCAUUAGAAAAUAGAGAAAAGUAAUCAAUGGCCUUGAAUCUUGGUGUAUUUUGUUGCAGAUUUCAAAAUGUCUGAUGCUCAGAGAGAACAUGCUUCAAUUGUAGAACAUUUGGUUCCUAGUUUGACAGCUCUUAGAGAUAACCUUCAUAGCCAUAUGGACGAUGGACGAUUUUGGAUGAUUUAUUUUAUAUUGUUGCUUCCAAGACUGAAUGAAAAUGACUCUGAGAUUCUAUCAACCCCCCAGGCAGGAUUUUUUGUGUUAUAUAUGCUUAUCUCAUUUUUUUUUAAUGCAUUCAUAUGUUUUUUCUUGUUUGUCUCUACAUGUUCUUGUACAACGAGGCCUAGAAACAAACUUUUAUUGGCCAUGAUAUACUGAAUCACUUGAAUCUGAUCAAGGUAUUGUCCUUUUUUUUGUAUAUACUUUUAUCUGAGGCAAAAGAAAAAUUUUGGCCGGAAAGGGGUGGACCAUUAAGUUUCUGUAACCAUGAUAUGAGAACAAUUGAAUUGUGGAAAUAUGCUAAUCUUCUCAGAAUUAGUAUUGCAACCCAUUGCAUUUGUAUGUUACAUGAUUGUUAUGAAGCUUACUGUAUAUGCUGUAUUCUAGAGAGCAUAAGCAAAUAUUGUUUUAGUUAAUUACAUCUAGCCAAGUGCAACUUAUACAGAGGAUGAAUGGGUUUUUGACUAUUGGGUUCAUAUGUAUGAUCAUGUCUUUGAAUGUUUGAGCAAUUUUCUUAGGCUUCCAAGUGCAUGAGAACCUAACUUUGUUCUUCGGGAACUUGGAAAGCUACUGACUCAUGACACCUCAGCUAGAGUCCUUCAACAUAUUGAAUUCAAGGAUUAUGGUGUUUGGGAACUUUGAAAGGAAAUGGAAAGGGAAGCAGAUGGAAUAGAGAGGAGAAUAGAAGAAUUGAGGGUGAGAUGACAAUAGCAGCUUAAAUAGCUGGCAGUGUUUUCAACUCCUUAGGACCUCAGUAAAUACUAAUCUAGUUGACUUACAAACUCUUUGAGAUGCGAAUGAAAUUAAAAUGCAUUAGUAGGAAGUUAAAUUUGAAUUGGAAUGCAAAUAAAGCUAUUAACUCAUGACGUCUCAGCUAAAGUCCUUCAACAUGUUGAUUUCAAGGAUUAUGAUAGUGAUCAGCAUAUUCCGAAUUGGUUUUGGCCUCUGCUUUGCAAUUCUGCUGUAUUUCCUUCUAUUGGAUUUUUCUCCUUUGUUAUUUCUAGUCAUCUUCAUUUUUCUUCUUCUGGAAUUGAUUGUGAUUGGAGCUUGCCGAUCCACUUUUAAUAUUAAGGUGCUUGGUAAGAUAAUUCUGAGAAUAGAUAUGUUUGGUUGAGUGGCUACCAUAACUUGGUUAUUGCAUCUUGAUUACCUCUGGGAAGGUGAAGAAGGGAGGGUUCCCAAAUUCAAAUUAUGGAAGUUUACUUUCUGUUUAGGUGUUUUGUUUUUCAGCAUUUUCUAUUGUUUAUGUUGGAAUUGAUGUUGGCAGUUCAUUUUUUGGUAGCUAGUAACAUGCUUCUGAGGUCUCCAACAUUUAUUUGCCACCAUGAAAAAAUUGUUGAAAAAAUUUAGAUUAGCUUUUUUGUGUGCCAAUCAUACCUAAUCGAUAUGGAAUCUUGGCUCUGUAAGCAAUUUGUUUCAGUUUUUCUUUUUCUUUUUUAAGAAUUUUAUAGACUUGCAAGUUCUGAAGUCUUACUGUCAUUUACUGGACUGUUGAUUGGGUUCUUCGUUUGAUUAUGUACCGUGCAACUAUAAAUUCAUUCCUUCAUAGGUCACAUAACAUAAGAUUAAGAAAUACGUAAUGUACCAUAAUGUUCCUUUGUGGAGUUGUACCUUUUGUUGAAUUAAUCUAAUGUGGUCUAAACUUGUUGACUUGCAUGCAGAUAAUUGAAACAAGAAGUAUUCUGCUGCAAAAGCUGCAAAACAAGAGAAAUGCAAAGGCAGAGGGUUCAGAGAAUUCUGUUACCCUUGAAUCAUCUCAAUGGGGCAGCAAAGUCACUGAAAGAAGAGAAGAGAAUAUCCCAUCUAGGGAAAACGAGGUCACUGACAUUGUAAAUGCAACUGAAGGGUUAGAAAUUGAUGAUGAAGAGAAUGCUGACCAGUGGUUAAAAGAGACGGAGAUUGAUACUGAAACAACAGUGUAUGGUCAGAAAAAGCUUGAACAUGAUGAGGACGUGUCAUUUAGCGAUCUGGAGGAUGAUAACGGUCUUUCAACUAGACUAUCCGGUUCGAAGCAAGCACAGGGUAUUAUUAGGACUCCUUCACCCACACCUAGUGGAUCUAGUGAUUGGGUCCAGUUGAAUGAGAGUUCUUCUGAGACUGGGGUUGGUCUGCAAAAGACAAGCCAGUCGAGUUCUCGGGAGAAAGAUUCAGAUGGUGAGUCUAAUGAUUGGCUUAAGGUUGAUGACUUUGACUAGAAAAUGCAAUGACCAUUUAUUAACCAUUUGUUGUAUAGUUUCUUCUUUUCUUUUUUUUUUCUGUGAUGGUUUCUGUACGCAUGGCAUUCAACCUGUUACAUAAUCAUAUGUUUAAACUAAUAAGACAAAAAGGGGUUUCAUAGUAUUCUGCUCUUAACUAUUGAAAGAAAAAUUAGAAAAUUAGUAGAACUUUUAAAUGAAAAAUAUAAUGAAAGCUUUAAAUGUUUAAAUGAACUAAUUAAUUACUAUUAUUUCCAUCAAUUCUGCAAUAUCAUAUGUUCAGUGUAUUCAUACUUCUGCUCAGAAAUCCAACACACAAUAGUGUGGUACGCAAAUUCUUUUUUUUUUUUUGGUUAACUGUGAAGAAUCCUUUCAGACCCAGGACAAGUAAUUGAUGGUAAUGCAAAAUUUUUCUCACAGGAAGGAUUUCAGAAAAGACAAGUAUUCGGAAAACUGAAAUAACCUCUGCUUCUGAAAAAUCAAACCCUGGAUUGGAUGCCAAUCACAAAAAAAAAAAAAGGGUUGAUAUAUAUAUAUAUAUAUAUAUAUAUAUAUAUAUAUAUAUAAAAUUUUCUGCAACGGAUUCUGAAUAACUGCUUUACUAAUAUCAAUCAUACACAAAAUCAUUUCCUAUAAUUAAGAGAAUGUCACAAAGACGGGUGUAUAUAUGAGCUUUUUUCCUAAUUAUUAGAACAUGCACGAACCUAACCCCAGUUUUUGUUUUUAGCUAAUUAGAGACGUAAAAUUAGUCCAAUGCGUAAGAUUGGUUUGAAAAUCUAAUAAGGUAUAUGAGAAAAAUAUGGAUGCACACCCAGAGUUAGGAUAUCUGUCGCAUAACUAUUCAGAAUUGUAACUCUUGCUUCGUUCAUUCUUUUCUUGUCUUUGUCUGUUCACUUUUGUCAUAACUCAAGAGUUCGUAUCAUGGUCGUUCCUAAGACAGUUUUUUACAUCCCCAACUAUAACGAAACCUUCAAGAUGCAAACGAAAUAAACCCUUGCAUUUUUUGCAAUUCAAAUCACUUUGACCACUACCUAAUGAGCUUUGGAUCAGUAGAAUUAGAAUAGUUUUGAAAGCUAUACAAUUGCAAGUUCAAAACCCUAAUCGGAGCCUAAUAAAUAAAAGAACAAUUAGGAUUUCCUUUUGGAACAGCUGCAUUGCCCAAAAGGAUAAUAUGAGUAUUAUGCAUAUAAAAAUAGCAAAAUAACUUGACCAGAUAGAAACUCAAAAUCAUAUAGUUAUGGAAACCUGAUUGAUUAACUUGUAAAUACAUACAAAUUCACAUAACUAUUAAUUAAGGCACAUAUAUGUAUCUCUAUCUAAAGGGGAAUGAACAUAAUGUCACAAUUUCCAAUGCUAGUUCACAUUUUCAAGCAAUUUUCUGCCUUCCAAAAUAUCAAGGUAUCCAACUGCUCCAACUAUCAGGACGGACUGGAGGUUUCGCAUUCUGAUCCAUGGGGCAAUUACCAUACACAUUGGUAAAGAAAGGCGAAUAGGCGCCUCUCCCUGGAGAUAUAGGAGGCAAAAGGCGGCUAGCCGAGCUACGAGGGAAACUUCCACAGAUUGAUAGCCUAACUGUUUCAGAAACCACUUGUCUUUGCAGCUUUGCAUAUGGAGGGCACCAUUCAGGCAUGUCAUCAUCAUGAUGGAAAAGAUUUUUUGGUAGCGCGACAGCAGUAUCAGCACUACUGCUAACUGGCACAUUACUUCUGUUAGAAUGUUGUUGUUCUGAACUUUGCGUCAUGAGCUGCGUAGGCUCAUUAAUUCUCAUGAAAAUUUCAGAUGUAAUUUUCUUACCAACAAUUUCAGUACUUACUGCCUUGUUUGCCGUAGUCAAUGAAAUGCCACGUGCAGCUUCAAAGUCAAACUCAGGAAGAUCAUCAUCAUCAGGAGCAAGUGGAGGUUCUUUUAUAGCAUUUCUGGAAGAAUUGGAACUAUCAAGAAACUUAGAAAUAUAGUUUGCCACUCACCUUUCUGACCUGUGAUCAGAUCCACAACAAAACUCAAUGGCAUGAAAAAAAAAAAAAAUUAAAAUCCCAGUAAUGCCAUGCCCUGUGAUCAGAUCCACAACAAAACUCAAUGGCAUGAAAAAAAAAAAAAAAUUAAAAUCCCAGUAAUGCCAUUUUUUAAUUCUUUGGAUAGGUAAUAUAUAUAAAAAUAAAAGACGCCCAAAAGGGCUAGCCAAGAAUCUAUAUUAGGAGCAUUAACCAAAGAAUUAUGCUAAAUUAUAUUAUGUCAUGGCUCCUGGUUCAGUGGAGAGACGCAGAAAACUUAGAAAUCUAGCUUUGACCAGAAAUUCCAUGAGUUCUACUAAAAAACUAUGAAAUCAAGAUUAGAGUGCAUCAAUGUGAGUACAAACAAUCAGAUUUGCAGUCUAGAGCAUCAUGGUGAAUAAAUAGAUAUAAUUUCAAACUCAGAGCAUUUCGUUUUGUUUGGAUAAGAAAAGAAAGGCAUUUGAUUAUGAAAAAAGCCAAUAAAAAUACAGCCAUCUAAAUCGUCCAAGGAAAUAUUUUCAGUAUUUGUGGCUAUAAAGGCCAUCAAGUUAAGGUUUUGUUACCAUUUCACGGUUUAAUUUUCCAUUCCAUCUCUUCAAUUCACUAUUAAACACAAAAAUUAAAAUAGCAGUAACACCAAAAACCAAGCAAUUUAGACUAUAAAUGCGAAAAAAACUGAUAAAGAAGACGAAGAAGAAAUAGAAUUGCUUGCCUCAAGAAUCAAAGUGAAGAAUUAGGAAUCAACAGGUCGCAUUGUCACACUUUAGAGUAGGGUCAGAAACGCCAGCUUCUCGGUCAUACAGUCGCGCUAAAGUUAACGAAGAGCUAACACGUGUUAUAUAUUUAUAUAGAAAAUGAAAAAUUACAAAAUGGUCACAAAGGUCUGCUAAAUACUAACUUUGCUCCCUUCAUAUUCCCUUUUAUUUAAUUGUAAUUUAGCCCUUUAUUGUAUCUUUCUCUUUUUUUUUUUUUUUUUUUUCUUUUUUUUUUCCUUCUCUUACGAGGAAAUCCCUUCAUAUUCCCAAUAUGUUUUUUUUUUUUUAAUAUAUGGUCAGAAAGACCACGGUUCAUCGGUUUAUCCACAAUUUUCUCAAAGCAAUCAAUAAAUGUGUUUCCUUCGUAAACUUCUCUUUUAGCUCUUGAAAUCUUAAUUUCAUUAUAGCUUAUGAAUCCUUAUGGUGAUGAAGAGAAUGAGAGGCAUUCCCAUUGUCGUUUCGUUUGGAAAUCUUGUUUAGAAUUUGUCUCGUCAUCGAAUUUGGCGUUUGGUCUUGGUCCCGGUUCGGCAGGAAACGAGUGUACAAGACUGGGCUUGGCCCAUUAUGACUAUGAAGCCCAUUUUAUGUACAUUAGGACACUUCAAAUUACCAUUCUGAAAGAACAUCGAUGAAUUAAUUGGAUUCGAAUCAGAAAUCUAAAUUUCAAAUUAAUUUCUGUUUAUAAUCUUGAUCACCCAUGCAUUAACUUGUACCAACCUUGACAAGGUUUAUUUUUUUUCUUUGAAUUUUGAGGUCAUAUAACAUAAAUGAUAGUUUCUUAAGGUUAAUAUGUGUUGAAUAGUUUGUUGUUGAUGAAAUUAAGAAAUGGACUAAGCAAAUUUUUUUUUUUUUUUUAAAAAAAUCUUGUAAUAAUACACAAUGCCUAUACAGAAUAAUCAAAAAAUUGUUCUCAAGUGACAAAGCAGAAAAGUGCUCUAUGAUAUAUAUAUUUUUUCCUUUUGAAAGUUGAAAAUAAUAAGAGAAAAUUGAAAUUCCACUUGUCAAUCUUUCCAACUCUCAACUCAGUGUUUAUUAAUUUUUUAUGGUGAGAUAUAAUUCAAGGCAAGAUAUGCAGUACUAUAUUUCCAACAACAAGUCAUUUGCACAUUUUGAGGGACCUAUUUUAUUAUUAAAUAUUUUAAUUUGCAGAAUAACAUUGAUCUAGCAUUUUAACGUAACUUUGCGUUCAUUUAAUAUUAUCAAAUAAUAAAAAAAUAUAUAAAAAUGUGUUUAUUUAUGUAAUUUUAAAAAUAAAGUAUUUGUGUCAAUAUUUAUGUAUUUGUUUAUCUUUUACCAUUUUAUGACUAUGUUUUAGGGUUGAGAAUCGCAUAAAAUAACAUCAUUCCACGGCCACGUGAUAGCCACGUGCAUUUACUGGACUACUCCAUGCUGGUUUAGAUUGACUUGCAGAUAUACUUUGUCCAAUUCAAAUGAUCCUCAAGGGACUGCAACCACCAGAUCACAAUCCAUGCACUCUACGAGAUUCGGAAAUUGGAUCUCUAGGCAAGUUGCAAUUGGAUUAUUAUUAUUUUUUUAACCAUUUGCUCUCCAAAUUUACUGAAUAUCACUUAUUCAAAAACUGCUCCCUUCCGAAUAUUUAAAAAGAUUCCAACAUCAAAGCAUUCAAAAUUAUUAUAUUAUUUAUAAUAUUAACAAAAUUGAUUUUUAAUUAAAAAAAAGAGAGCUCAUUUUUUUUUUUACCAAUUUAGAUAAAUGAGGCAAUCCAAUUUAUAUUAUAAAGUGGAAUUUUCUAAUGGAAUUGAUUUUGAGGAAUGCAUUUUAUGUACUUGAGUAGUUUCAUUUGCAGUAAAGUAAAUAACAUAAAACAAAAUAAUAUCGUGAACCAUUCCUUUCAGACAGAAGAUCUGAGCUUUUGGAUUUUGGCAAUAUAACAGGCUAUUGUAUACAGACAUCACACACGACAAAAACUAAUAAAUAUUAUCACGUUAAUGCGCAGAACAGAAGAAUUACGUGGUUAAAAAUUGUUGAAGGUUAUAUAUAUAUAUAUAUAUAUAUAUAUAUAUGUGUGUGUGUGUGUUAGAAUUUGAUCUAACUUCCAGGCAGAUAUUGGAUUUUCAGUUUUAUUUUGCUUGAAAUAUGGUUAAAAGUUCGAUUAAAGAAAAUUAAAAUUUCGGUGAUCGGUUAAAACUUAAUUUAACUAAAUUAAUCGACUCUCAAAACUACAUCAUUUUGAUUAAGUAGAAAAUAAAAUUAAAAAUUAAAAAUAUUUCAAUUUUUAUUUUGGUUAAAGUCAGUUAAUCAUAAAUUUCAGUUAAAUUCGAUCGGUUAAUUAAGUUUUAAUUUUCAUUAACUUUGGUUCGGUUAAGAAUCAAAAUUAAUUCGGUGAAAACAGUUCGGUUAAAAAAUUAAUUUAGUUAAAUUUGAUUAAGUAAAAAAAAAUUUGAUUAAUUUAUUCCAGUUAAAAAUUUUACUCAAAUUGACAAAAUUGGUGAAUGAGCAUCCUAAAUAAUAUUUUUUUGACUUACCUUCUUUUAAUUUUUUUUAGUUUAAAUAAAUUUAUAAAAUAAAUUAUCUUUAAUAGUUUAAUAUAAUGAAUUGUUUUUGGUUCAGAUAUUUCUUUUGUAUUAAUAACGAUGUAGUGGUGGUGGUGUUGGUGAUGGAGUGGUGUUUGAAGUGGUGGUGGUGGUAGUGGUGGAGUGGUGAUGGUGGUUGUGAUAGUGAUUGUGGUGGAGGUGGCGAUGGUGGAGUGAUGGUGGCGGUGUGAUUGGUGAUGGUAGUAUUUUAAUUACAUUACAUAUUUAUAAAUAAUAUAAAAAUAGAAUGGUGAUUAUAUUCUAUAAAUUUUAUCAAUUAUAUUAUCAAACAUAAUAAUAGUAAUAGAAUCUUAAAUACAUUCCAUUCCAUUACAUUUUUCAUUGCAUUAUACAUCCAACCAAAAAUAGCAUUAGUUUCCAUUUGAUUAUCCAAGUUUUUUCUUUUUUUAUUCAGUUUUAUAUAUUAAGUAUAUAUUUUAUGUUUUUGAAUUAUCUAAAAACUAUGUGCAAUAAUAAAAGGCCUAAUCAUUAAAAAAAUAUAGAUUUUUGAGUUUUUUUUUUUCAAAUUUGGUCAAUAUUUUUGACUUUAUCAAUUAAUAUAUUGUACUUACUUUUUAUCGUCAAUUUUAACUUUCGUCCUGAGUCCAAUUGAGUGUAGUCGAGUAAUAUAACUCCAAAAGCAAAAAAACUUACCUAACGGAUUUUGGGGUUACUGAUGGUGCAAAUUACUCGUCAAUGAUCCAUCAAGAGUCUAUUAAUUAUAAAAGCAUAUAAAAUUCUUUCAAACUUGUGAUGAGAUGAAAACAAAUUUGUCUCAACAACAUUAUUUUGCAACUUAGAGAUUCUAAAAAUAAGAAUGAAUAGUCGAAGAACACCCAUAUGGAUGUAAGCUGGCGUAUGGCGGGAUAAUUAACGGUCAAAUAAGCAACAAAUUAGCGUAUUCUAGACAAAGCCCGUAAUUGAUAAGAAAAAAUAAAUAUGAAAUAAUAAUUGACAAAAUUAAAAAUAUUGAUUAAAUUUACUAAAAAUGUCAAAAUUCAUACUUUUUUUUAUGAUUUACCAUAAUAAAAUCAUGUAUAUUAGCAUCAACAAUCAGUUUAAUAAAGAAUUGAAUUUGCAUUCCUGUUUAUUGAUUAUGAAUUAAUUUUUGACCAAAAAAAAAUAUUUUUAUUUAUUCACAAAUUUCUUCUUAUGAUAUAAAUAAUUAUUUUUUGAUUGAACUAAUUUAAUAUAAUUCAUAAACUUAACUCAUGAAAUCAUGUUUUUAUUAAAACGAGUAUUUAUAUAUUCAUCAGGAGAUUUUCUUUUCAUAGGAGAUUUCUGUAUAAAGUUUUUUAUUUUGUUUUUGAAUUUACAUACAUAUCAACAUAUCUUUUGCGCUGGACUGAAUGUGAUAUUUAGAUAAUUCCAAACUUUAUAGAUAAAAUUUAUCUGAAAUAUAAUUCAUUUCUAUCAAUCAAAUCGUCUGUAUUGCAGAAGGCAUAUCAAUUUAAUAUUAAAAGGAUAUUCUUUAACACAUAGUCCUUUCAAGUUAAAAAAAAAGAAAAGAAAGAAAGAAACCACUUACACGUUCAUACACAAAAAGCUUAAACUUAGGUGGAUAAAAGAUGCUCCAUGGCACUAGACAAAUUGAUUGAUAGUGAAUAUUUAGAGGGAUUGAGACACGUGUCAACGUAGAUAGAUAGAUAGAUAUUAUUAUCAUUGGUAUAGUCCCUGGAUGAAAAGGAAAGAAAGAAGACUAAUUUGAUAGAGAAAAGAGAAAGUGUUAAGAGAGAAAAGAGAAAGGGAGAGACCAAUCGCAUCAAAAUGAGGAAAGCAGAGAAUCACGGGAUUAGCAAAAGAACAAAUAAUACAGCUUCUCAAAUUGAUAUAUAGAUAAACCAUAGCCAUGCAUUUAUUUGCAGUAGACUGGAGUGGAGACUAUCAUCAUCAUGUGCCUGUCUCUCUAUUAUAUCAUUUUCGUUUUUUUCGUUUUUUUUUUUAAAUUAUUAACUAAUAACUGUAUAUACACUCCAACUGUAACUACCAAUUUCACAUCUUCUCUUGCUAUGCUGUUUCCUAUUUCUUUCAUUUUGAGAUCUAUUUCUUACCUUCUACUGUUCAAUUAUUAUCAAAUUUCAUUUUUUGACUAGUAUAUAUAGAGACCUCACUCAAUAAUUCACAAAUAUAAUCAAUUCGUGCAGAAUCUUUAUUUUCUCGCAAACUAUUAUCUAAGAUUCCAUCCCCUAGCAUCUAUGAUUUUUAUCAUUAACGAUAUAAAUCUAUUACGGUCCGGUCACGCAUCAUAGCUUUAUACGUAGCAUUUUAGUAAUUUGAGUUAAUCAAAACAAUAUCUUUAUUAUUUAUAAUGUUUGAUCACGUUGCGUUUAUACAAGUGUUUAGAGUUUAAGAGAACGAAUUAUGAAACAUUAUUUUUUUACGUUUAAUGAAACGCUAGUAAAAUAACUAAUAAUUAUGAAACGUUAUAUAGUGUUUAAUGUUUUGAGUUAAUCAAAACAUUUAGUGGCGUUGCAUUUAUAUUAAUGCUUAAAGUUUGAGAGAGCGGAUUGUAAAAUAUUACUCUUUUUCCGUUUGAUGAAAUGUUAAUAAAACAACUGUCAAUUAUUUAAACAACUAAUAGCUACUAAAACCAAUGGUGAAUCCAGAAAAUUAAAUUGAUGGAGAGAAUACAUAAAAGUAUAUAAUUCAGUGAGGGCAAAAGGUAAAAAUUUAGUGGAAUAAAUAUAAAUUAAUAUAAUUAUAUACACUAAAAUGUAAAAAACCAUAAACUAAACUUUUAACUAAAAUAACUAAUUUUGUCGAAUAAGAGCUGUAUGACUAGUAAUAAUGAUUAUUUAGGAUUUGUUCGGCAAAAAUUAGCUUUUGCGUAGUUGGUAGUUAUUUUAAUAGUGUUUAGCUGUUAGCUAUUUGAGUAGUUUUUCAUGAAACGCUAAAAGUUAAAUGUUAUACGAAUUAACUUUUCAUAAAAUGCUACCUUAACCUUUAAAAGCUAGUCCAAAUACUAUAUUACCGAAUAACUUUUUUAAAUAGUAUUUAGUAUUUUGACUGGUUAUUUAAAAAGCUAUUGCCAAACACACUUUUAUAAAAUAAAAUAAAAUAAAUUGUUGAUAAGGUAGGCAGCUAAGAACUCGAAGCAACUAAUAAUUUCUUUUAGCUUAGGCUAAAAGACUGUCUAGUCAAUGUUUUACAAAGACACAAAAUUGGUAGGUCUUCCUUUCAUGUGGAUCUAUAUAUUUAUAAUGCAAUCAUAUACAGAAGAACUCUUUAGAUGCUUAAACACAUAGCUUUCUUAAUUCUUAUGACAUUCAAAAAUUAAAAAAAAAAAAGGUUUUGUAGAUGUGACGGUGGCCCCAGUAUUUGUGGCAACUGUUGCACUUAAAAAUAAACAUGGAAAAAGCAUAUAUCACUAAUUUCCAUUAAUGUAAUACAAGUCAAAUAUAAUGAUAGGUGUAAGAGAUAUUUAUCAUGAAAUAAUGAAUGGUUGAGAUUUGAAAGAGUAUAUAAAAUGUGAAUCCCAAUUGUUGAAUCAGUAGUAAAAUUUGUUAAACAAUUUGGUGAGUACAGGGAAAGGCAUCGGAACUCACAAUGAAUAAAAAAAAAAAAAGAAAUAUUAUGAUUUAUUUUUUUCACCUCAAAAUUUUCUGAAGAAAAGAUUGCCAUAUCCUCUUAUUCCAUCUAAGUUAUUUAAUCAUUUCAAUCAUUUUUCAAAUAUUUUCUCUAGUUUUCAGAAGAAAAAAAAAUGUUAUACCUCUACCACUGUACAUGAAGAUGACUCCUACUCUGUGUCCUUGAAAAUAAUAUAGGAAGACCUUUUUAACACAAGAUUAUCAAAGGUAAUUAGGUGAUAAAUAUCUCCUUACCUCAAGCUUCCCUUUGGGUGUAAUACCAACUGUGGAUACACAUAAUAUAAUCAAGUUAACCAAAACUUGAUUGAAGCCUAAUGUUUUUUUUUGGUAAACCACCCACUGUUCAGGUUCUGCAAAGGUCAAUUAUGGGAGCGACUCUCCCAACUGAAUUUUCUCCAUUUACAACAUUAGGAUUCAAUCUAGAUAUUGCUUAAGGGAUCCAGUGCCUUAUCUCAACCGGUAGUUGCUUAAAGGAUCUUGUCAAGAAAUUCCUAGCCAAUUCUACUGUAUAUUACCCUUAGAAAUGUCAACUCUUGCGACUACAAAUACAAUCUCCUUCCUGUCUUUUGUUGAAAUAUCUAUUAUUCAACCAUUGUUGACAAGAUCAUUCGACAUUUGGACUAGUUCAGUUUCAAAAUUAAAAGUAUAAAAAAAAAAAAGAAAAAAGAAAGUUGAAUUUAAGUUAUCCGACGAGGAGCUUUAUUAGGACGUAUUUGAAAGAUAAUAUAUAUAAUGUGUUUGAAUUCAUCUUCAAGAAAAAGAGAAGAUUUUUCCUUAGUGGGUUGUACUACCCUGUCCCUGAUGCGCUUUCAAAUUGUUGUAAUUACUGUCGAUAGUGCAUAGUAUAUAAAAUUCAUUAUAUAUAAUAUCGAAUGGCAAAAAAACUUAUAAUAAAAAAGUUUCAUUCAGCUUAUGAACUAAAUUUAUCAUUUUGGAUAAUAUGUAAUUUUUAGCAAGACAUUGUUAGUUUCAAACGGUGCAAUAAUAAGUGUUGCAAUAUUUAUCCAUUAGUUGCAAUAACAGAUCUAAGCUCUUCCGGACUAGAUUCUUUUGUGUUAUUGUGGCAUAUAGACCUUGAAAAGCCAAUAACACCAAACAAAAUCACUUUCAUGGCUGCUUAGUAGUCCCACACCCACCUCCAUUAUGGGCUUUAUCCUCCUAAUUCUUUAAUAAUAUUUAUCCAUUUAUCAAAAAAUUUUUUUAAAAAAAAUCCAUUCCUGAUACAGUUAAAUUUUAGAGCAUCAUAUGAUUAACCAACUAGGUUGGGGCCCAUAUAUAUAUAUAUAUAUAUAUAUAUAUGCAUUUGCACGUACCUUAGUACCUUACCUCCACAGAAACUUCUUGUUUAACCUUAUGUAUUUCUCCAAAAGGAAAAUAUUUAAGUAAUUAAUUAGUUAAUUCCAUCAUCAAUAAUGUAAUCAAAUGUCUCAUCAUUUCUAUAUCAAGUCAUUCCGCUUACAUGGCAUUAUAAAAUUAAAAUUUUUUAAACAAUAAAACUCUUUUGAAAAUUAAAUUAUAACAUAUAAAACAAUAUUAAUGAUUAAAACUAUAAUUAUCACCUUUAACAUUUUAAUCACUGUUUAAAUCUAUAACUUAUAUUUUGAAAUGUUACUCAAAUUAUUAUUAUUUUUAAAUAUUACUCAAAUUGUUCUUUAACCAAUAUUUCAAAUUAAUGGCACAGAACCUAAAGACAAAAUGUUGUUUUAACAUAUCAUUUUUCCAAUAAAUAAUAAUUGGAAAAAUGAUAUCCUCACAUUUUUUUUAUGAAACUAAUAUAAUUUUAGGGUUUGUGACUACCUUUUAAGUAUAUUUUAUCACUUGAGUUACUCUUUACGGAUAACAUAUUACAAAUAAAUAAUAAUUAUAUAUUUGGAAUAUAAAUACGUAUAGAUAUUGGAUUUAAAUUAAUAAAAGGGAUUCAUGUAUUUGUUAACUAAUCAUAGUUGCCAACUAGCAAAAUUUGGCAGCUGCCUUUGAAGGCUUAGCACAUAUUCACGUGGUGUGCCUUAAGGAUUUUUUGUUUUCUACUACUUCUCACCCCACCGUUCCUAUAUAACACUGCACUUCUCUACUCUAUUAUAAAAAAAUUAUCAGUCUUUUCUUUUCUUCACCAAAACCCACAAAAAUGGAGUCCUCCAAGAUUUCAGCUCUUCUUCUCAUUUGCAUGCUUUUCAUUUCCUCUGCUGCUCCAAUUCUUGGCUGUGGCAGUUGUGGCAAACCACGGCAUAAGCACAAAAGCCCUAAAAGACCAAAAACUGUUCCUCCAAUUGUUAAGCCUCCAAUUAAUUUGCCUCCUGUUACAGUUCCUCCAAUUGUAAAACCACCAAUCACACUCCCUCCCGUUACAGUUCCUCCAAUUGUAAAACCACCAGUGACACUCCCUCCUGUUACAGUUCCUCCAAUUGUGAAGCCACCAGUUACGCUCCCUCCUGUUACAGUCCCUCCGGUUACAGUUCCUCCAGUUUUAAAUCCACCAAAGGGAAGUGGGAAAAAACCUUGCCCAUCACCACCAGCAAAACAGGAGACUUGCCCUAUUGACACACUGAAAUUAGGGGCUUGUGUUGAUU
rnacentral:lncRNA from 1 species